UACGUAGGGUGCGAGCGUUGUCCGGAAUUACUGGGCGUAAAGAGCUCGUAGGUGGUUUGUCGCGUUGUUCGUGAAAACUCACAACUCAAUUGUGGGCGUGCGGGCGAUACGGGCAGACUGGAGUACUGCAGGGGAGACUGGAAUUCCUGGUGUAGCGGUGGAAUGCGUAGAGAUCCGGAAGAACACCGGUGGCGAAGGCGGUUCUCUGGGAAUAUCCUGACGCUGAGGAGCGAAAGUGUGGGGAGCGAACAGG
rnacentral:rRNA from 1 species